CACGCACGUAAACGAUGCGCGCACUAGGCUGUGGGGAGGAGUUGACCCCCUCCGUGCCGGAGCCAACGCGGGAAGUCGGCCGCCUGGGGAGUACGGCCGCAAGGCUAAAACUCAAAGGAAUUGACGGGGGCCCGCACAAGCGGCGGAGCGUGCGGUUUAAUUCGACGCAACGCGUAGAACCUUACCAGGGCUUGACAUGCGCCUGCAUCCUCCUGAAAGGGAGUGGCC
rnacentral:rRNA from 1 species